rnacentral:rRNA from 1 species
UCGAGAAUUUUUCACAAUGGGCGAAAGCCUGAUGGAGCGACGCCGCGUGGGGGAUGAAUGGAUUCGGCCCGUAAACCCCUGUCAUUCGCGAGCAAACGUUAUUAUUUAAAAGAUGAUAGCCUGAUAGUAGCGAAAGAGGAAGGGACGGCUAACUCUGUGCCAGCAGCCGCGGUAAUACAGAGGUCCCAGGCGUUGUUCGGAUUUACUGGGCGUAAAGGGUGCGUAGGUGGUGGGGUAAGUCAGAUGUGAAAUCUCCGAGCUCAACUCUGAAAGUGCAUUAGAAUCUACACUGAGCGAGGGUUGGAGGCGGGAGUGGAAUACUUGGUGUAGCAGUGAAAUGCGUAGAUAUCAAGUGGAACACGAGUGGCGAAGGCGAGUCCCUGGACAACUCCUGACACUGAGGCACGAAAGCUAGGGGAGCAAACAG